rnacentral:rRNA from 1 species
AAUUCUAAUUUAAUAGAAGUCAAGUUAUGGUCUGAGAGAUAACUUAAAAAUGGUAAGUUAUUUAGGAACAAGAUAAAAGGCAAAACACCAAACUUCAUACAAACUUAAAUGUUUGACAUUUAAAAAUUAAAGAGAUUUUUUUUUAACGUGUAUUUGAGACAAAUAAGCCAACCUUGGUACAUAACCGCUGAAAACUAAAAAACCGUACCCUAAACCAACACAGGUGGAUAGGUCGAGUAGACUAAGGUGUAUGAGAUAAUUAUGUUGAAGGAACUCGGCAAAAUGACUCUGUAACUUCGGGAGAAAGAGUACCUUUUUAUUUAAGUGUUUAUCGACG